rnacentral:rRNA from 1 species
UGGGGAAUCUUCCGCAAUGGACGAAAGUCUGACGGAGCAACGCCGCGUGUAUGAUGAAGGUCUUCGGAUUGUAAAGUACUGUCAUUGGGGAAGAACGGUUUUCUUGAAAAGAUUGAGAAGACAUGACGGUACCCAAGGAGGAAGCCCCGGCUAACUACGUGCCAGCAGCCGCGGUAAUACGUAGGGGGCAAGCGUUGUCCGGAAUUAUUGGGCGUAAAGGGCGCGUAGGCGGGCUUUAAGUCCGGUGUGAAAGAUCAGGGCUCAACCCUGAGAGUGCAUCGGAAACUGGAGGCCUUGAGGACAGGAGAGGAAAGUGGAAUUCCACGUGUAGCGGUGAAAUGCGUAGAUAUGUGGAGGAACACCAGUGGCGAAGGCGACUUUCUGGACUGUAACUGACGCUGAGGCGCGAAAGCGUGGGGAGCAAACAGGAUUAGAUACCCUGGUAGUCCACGCCGUAAACGAUGAGUGCUAGGUGUAGAGGGUAUCGACCCCUUCUGUGCCGCAGUUAACACAAUAAGCACU